AAUCAGUUACACAUUUUAACAUUGUCUGUUUGUUUUGGUUUUUCAGGUGGAGCAGGCAAGAAAGGGUCAAAAGAGUCUCUCCACAGCGACUCCACUGCUGGCUCCAGGGCACCACUUAAAGAAGCAGCCAUUAUCCACACCAAUGAGAGCAACAACACUCUCCCCGAGGCCAGCGGUCUCCUGAGGAACUGAAGCGCAGACUGACGCAGUGGAAACAGUCUAAAGUGUCUGUAGAUAACAGACUUUCCAUCAGAGUACAUCAAGACUCAUCGUAGAACCAAAUUUACUAUUGGAUAGAAACAAGCUGCACAGUUAAUCAAAUGAUUAUCAAAAUCUCAAUAUGGUAAAAUGCAGUAAUCCAAGUCAUAAAGGUAAAAUAUGUGACAUCACAUCACAGUCGCAAUAUCUGUGAAAAUAAUGUCUUCAUGAUGUUUGUCACAUAUCGUGCAGCCUUAAUAGAAACUAAAAAGGGGAAUUGUAAAAAGACCCAAUAAGAACAAAGAACUUAUAUAAGCUCAAUAACGUCUCCACUGUCUCUUCAGGGGUUGAGGGCAAAAUGAAGUUCAAUACACUGAAAACUGCCCGAGCCACUUAAUAAGACAUUUAAAAAUAGUAUGAAUUCAAGUCACAUGUUUGAGUAGUGAUCCUAAACUGGGCACUACAAGGGUUUGAAAAAUGAAAGAGUUUGGUGAGGUCGUUUUGACCAGAGGUCAGAGGUCAGGUGGAGAUUUAGGAAAAUGAUUGGAAAGAGUCUACAAAAGACUUCAAUAAAUUCAAUGAAAAAUACUCAAAA